UUAAAUUGAAGAGUUUGAUCAUGGCUCAGAUUGAACGCUGGCGGCAGGCUUAACACAUGCAAGUCGAACGGUAACAUUUCUAGCUUGCUAGAAGAUGACGAGUGGCGGAC
rnacentral:rRNA from 1 species